AGAGUUUGAUCAUGGCUCAGAACGAACGCUGGCGGCGUGGAUAAGACAUGCAAGUCGAGCGCUGAUUACAGGGUAGCAAUACUCUGUGGUCGGAGCGGCGCAAGGGUGCGUAACACGUGGGUAAUCUGCCAUGAAGUUUGGGAUAACUUGCUGAAAGGCGAGCUAAUACCGGAUGUGAAAAUCGGGAGGCAUCUUCUGAUUUUCAAAGCUGGGGACCGUAAGGCCUGGCGCUUCAUGAUGAGCCCGCGGCCUAUCAGCUAGUUGGUAAGGUAACGGCUUACCAAGGCUAAGACGGGUAGCUGGUCUGAGAGGACGACCAGCCACACUGGAACUGAGACACGGUCCAGACACCUACGGGUGGCAGCAGUCGAGAAUUUUUCACAAUGGGCGCAAGCCUGAUGGAGCGACGCCGCGUGGGGGAUGAAUGGCUUCGGCCCGUAAACCCCUGUCAUUUGCGAACAAGUUGGUUCAAUUAACACCUGAACCAUUGAUAGUAGCGAAAGAGGAAGGGACGGCUAACUCUGUGCCAGCAGCCGCGGUAAUACAGAGGUCCCAAGCGUUGUUCGGAUUCACUGGGCGUAAAGGGUGCGUAGGUGGUGAGGUAAGUCGGAUGUGAAAGCUCGGAGCUCAACUCCGAAAUGGCAUUGGAAACUACCUCGCUCGAGGGUUGGAGGGGGGACUGGAAUGCUUGGUGUAGCAGUGAAAUGCGUAGAUAUCAAGCGGAACACCAGUGGCGAAGGCGAGUCCCUGGACAACUCCUGACACUGAGGCACGAAAGCUAGGGGAGCAAACAGGAUUAGAUACCCUAGUAGUCC
rnacentral:rRNA from 1 species